GACGAACGCUGGCGGCGUGCCUAAUACAUGCAAGUAGAACGCACAGUUUAUACCGUAGCUUGCUACACCAUAGACUGUGAGUUGCGAACGGGUGAGUAACGCGUAGGUAACCUGCCUGGUAGCGGGGGAUAACUAUUGGAAACGAUAGCUAAUACCGCAUAAUAUUAAUUAUUGCAUGAUAAUUAAUUGAAAGGUGCAAUUGCACCACUACCAGAUGGACCUGCGUUGUAUUAGCUAGUAGGUGAGGUAACGGCUCACCUAGGCGACGAUACAUAGCCGACCUGAGAGGGGGAUCGGCCACACUGGGACUGAGAAACGGCCCAGACUCCUACGGGAGGCAGCAGUAGGGAAUCUUCGGCAAUGGACGAAAGUCUGACCGAGCAACGCCGCGGGAGGGAAGAAGGUUUUCGGAUCGUAAAGCUCUGUUGUAAGAGAAGAACGGGUGUGAGAGUGGAAAGUUCACACUGUGACGGUAUCUUACCAGAAAGGGACGGCUAACUACGUG
rnacentral:rRNA from 1 species